AUGCUCAGGAGAGUUCUAACAGUUCGGACGUUGCGUGAAUCAGAGGUCCCAGGAUACCCAAAUUGCCAGGUCUUCUCCUCCUCUCCAUACCGCUCCGCUGGCUGCUCCUAUAGCUUCUGGAGAACGCCUCCUCUCUGCGCUGCCUCGGACACCAGGAACCUGCCGCCACGUCAAUCACGUCCUCACAGCUGGGUAAUUAAUUUCAAGUGCAAAUUGUAGUCAUCUUCACUUGAGAGAGGGUGAGAAUAGAUCAGAGUUUCCCCUCCUUUAGUCUGUUUAUACACAGUCCUGAGGCUUUCCAAACUGAGCUUGUUCCUCCAGACCAGUUUGCCAAUGAGGCUCUGCUUAAAUCUCCAGGGUGGUGAUCAGAGGUUUUUGUGUUUUUGUUUGUGCAUUUUUCAAAGCCAAGUGACUGUAAGGAAUAUCAGUCAUUUUAGAGUUGCCUGCUUGGCUACAAGUCACCUGUGAAUUUUCAAAGUACACUCUUUAUGAGAAGAGGCCUUUGUGACUGAGCCAAUAGCCUUUGGUGUCUUUCAAGAAUACUUUACCAAGCCCACUAUGCAGAAUCUUAUGAGACUGGCUUUGUCAACACAAGACUUUAUGGCCUCAUGGAGUUGACCUCUUUCUUCUCUUUCUUUUUUCACUUUUUGGAAACUUGUUGUUUACCUUGUUCAGUCUAUGUUGAACUUAUUAAUGUUGGGAAAUGUUACUUUGGAAAGUGUAAUUGCGCUGCUAUAAAAAAUGGCAAUUACAUAUCAUAGACACACACAUAGACACAAGCACACACUUACGCACAGGCUUUUUGUGGUAGACAGAAUACCCACAUUUCCUCUGUGAGCCCUCAUUUAGGUGUGCUGACCUUGCAUGAGCUGCGUCAAUCACUCUCUAUCUGCCGGUAAAUCCUCCCUUAUCUUAGGCUUAAACUGACAGAGCUCGCACACAUCUGCACUGCAGGAGACUGUGAGGCUGUACGAUCCAGGAACAGAGUCAGAUUGACUGAAGCUACUGGAGUGAUGGGAUAGUUUGUUUGUGAAUGGCAUAUGCUUAAAGUGGGUUUGGGUUCAGGGUGUUCACACAGGAUGGGGGCUGAAUGGUGAAUUAGGCAUGUUCAGGGCAGCUGUGUGGCUAGUUUGAAGCCCGGAUUCACUUUUGUGCAAGAUGGAAAAUGUAGAAUUGUUCUGUGCACUUUGCAUCCAGCACAGAUUUUUGUGGGUGCACUUUGCUUCAUUGCCUGAUUUGCAUAAUUACUUUAGUGAAACGGGCGCUAAAACAAUAAGCGGUGCUAUCAGUGGGCACGAUUUACUGUUAGUAAAUCUGUAAAGUUUAAGGAGAAGGUGGUGUUUCGUUAUAGCUGUUGAGACAGCUCUGUCUCUGGAGGUAGAGCUGUGUGAUUUGAGUCUUAUUGUCCUCCAAGACAUUUGAGGGAACAGCUCUGCCUCGAGUCUGCAGUGCACUCAGUGGAACUGUAGAUCUCACCGUUGGCUGAAUGUGUGCUCUGUGUGCUCUCUCCCUCUUGCUGUCUUUCUCUCUGUCACUCUCAGUUAUUUGGAAUAGCAUUGGAAACCCCUGUUGUUAGAGAAUAAAGCUGUUGCACAUUAUUAUGUUUUUUAGGCAUGCAUGAUAUAUCAGUACCAUUAUUAGAGUUUUUUUUUAUUAUUAUUUAUCUGUGUUGGGUGAUAUUGGGUAUUUCAUUGUGCUGUUUUUACAUUUAGAUUAUCUUUGCUGUCAUCUAAUACUCUGUUAAAAUAAUUGAUAAUACACAUUAACAUGUAAUCUUUGGGAAAUCUCAAAAUUAAUACCCUUUAUAAUGCUUCACAUUAUAGUUAUCUGAUGCCUAAAUUAAAUUGAUUUUAGUUUUUAGUGUUUUAUUUUAUUAUCUGUUCAUGCAAAAUAUCAGCCAUUUAUUAGUAAUCAGCUAAAACUUGUUAUCAGCCAGAAUUUUUGUCAGUAAUUUGCAGUAUCAGUUUUUGCUGUAUAUAUCAGCUUUGUAU
rnacentral:lncRNA from 1 species